AUACGUAGGGAGCAAGCGUUGUCCGGAUUUACUGGGUGUAAAGGGCGUGUAGGCGGAGUGAUAAGUUAGAUGUGAAAUCUGGGGGCUCAACCCUCAAACUGCAUUUAAAACUGUCACCCUUGAGUGAUGGAGAGGCAGGCGGAAUUCCUAGUGUAGCGGUGAAAUGCGUAGAUAUUAGGAGGAACACCAGUGGCGAAGGCGGCCUGCUGGACAUUAACUGACGCUGAGGCGCGAAAGCGUGGGGAGC
rnacentral:rRNA from 1 species